UUUCCGUAGGUGAACCUGCGGAAGGAUCAUUACAAAUCUUUUGCGAGUCUGCGUGCUUUACCGCCGUAGCACUCACAACAUUAGCACAAGGUCGCAAGGCCUUGAUGUUUACGCUUGUUUGUUUGACAGAUUUAGUUGAGAAAUAAAAAAGACAACUUUUAACAAUGGAUCUCUUGGCUCUUGCAUCGAUGAAGAACGAGC
rnacentral:misc_RNA from 1 species